CCUGGCGGCAAUAGCGCGGUGGUCCCACCUGACCCCAUGCCGAACUCAGAAGUGAAACGCCGUAGCGCCGAUGGUAGUGUGGG
rnacentral:rRNA from 1 species